AUUUCUUUUUAAGCUACACUAAAUCUCUCCUUUGGCAGAAGAGGAAACUGAGGCUCUGAGAAGUUCAAUCAGUUUUUUAAAACUACACAGUUGGUUAGUGGCAGGGUCAAGCCAAGGAGCCAAGAUUCAUUGGUUUAUUCAACACAUAUUAGUCAAGCUCUAUACUAUGUGCAGGGAAAGAGCAUCAUCUAAACUAACAGUUUCUGGUAGUGAAGGAGGGAUGGAUUUGGGUGUUGGCCUAUCCUUCAAUUUUGUUCAAUUAUCAACCUCUUAAGAAAGGGAACCUGAUUCUCAGUUUAAUGUUAAGUAUAACAAGCCAAACAUGGAAGUAUCAUUCUUCUUGCCUGGGGUUGACUUAGGGAUGGACAUGUGAUCUAGUUCUAGUCAAGCAGAUGUGAAGGGAAAUUUGCUGUGGGGCUUAGAAAUAUUGCUGGGAACGAUUUUUCUUCGUCAAGGGUUGUCUUCUCUGGAUGUAAUGCCUGGAACUGGGACUAGCCUGUUGACAGGUUAAGGCUAGCUGAGAGGCGAGGUGGGAGGAAGGCUGAGAACUUGAUGACAUCACUGAACUUGACAAACCAAAGUCGGAGGCCCAGCAACAGCACCUGUUGAUAUGUUGGCCCAGAUCAAUUCAGAGGCUCUCCAGGAGAGGAAAUUGGGACACAGGCAUGAGCAGAGGUAAAAGUACAUGAAGACACAGGAAGAAGAUGAACACCUACAAACCGAAGAGAAAGGCCUCAGAAGAAACCAACCCUGAAAACACCUUGAUUUUUGGAUUUCCAUCCUCCAGAAUUGUUAGGAAAUAAAUUUCUGUUGU